rnacentral:rRNA from 1 species
GACGAACGCUGGCGGCGUGCCUAAUACAUGCAAGUAGAACGCUGAAGCUUGGUGCUUGCCCCGAGCGGAUGAGUUGCGAACGGGUGAGUAACGCGUAGGUAACCUGCCUGGUAGCGGGGGAUAACUAUUGGAAACGAUAGCUAAUACCGCAUAAGAGUAGAUGUUGCAUGACAUUUGCUUAAAAGGUGCAAUUGCAUCACUACCAGAUGGACCUGCGUUGUAUUAGCUAGUUGGUGAGGUAACGGCUCACCAAGGCAACGAUACAUAGCCGACCUGAGAGGGUGAUCGGCCACACUGGGACUGAGACACGGCCCAGACUCCUACGGGAGGCAGCAGUAGGGAAUCUUCGGCAAUGGACGGAAGUCUGACCGAGCAACGCCGCGUGAGUGAAGAAGGUUUUCGGAUCGUAAAGCCCUGUUGUAAGAGAAGAACGAGUGUGAGAGUGGAAAGUUCACACUGUGACGGUAUCUUACCAGAAAGGGACGGCUAACUACGUG